AUUGAACGCUGGCGGCAGGCCUAACACAUGCAAGUCGAACGAGUGGCGGACGGGUGAGUAAUGUCUGGGAAACUGCCCGAUGGAGGGGGAUAACUACUGGAAACGUUAGCUAAUACCGCAUACCAUCGGAUGUGCCCAGAUGGGAUUAGCUAGUAGGUGGGGUAAGGGCUCACCUAGGCGACGAUCCCUAGCUGGUCUGAGCGGAUGACCAUCCACACUGGAAGUGUGACACGUUCCAGACUCCUACGGGAGGCAGAAGUGGGGAUUAGUGCACAAUGGGCGCAAGCAUGAUGCAGCCAUGCCGCGUGGAUGAAGAAGGCCUUCGGGUUGUAAAGUACUUUCAGCGGGGAGGCGUUACUAGCAGAAGAAGCACCGGCUAACUCCGUGCCAGCAGCCGCGGUAAUAC
rnacentral:rRNA from 1 species